UUGGGUUUUGGUUCGGGUUGUUUGGAUUGUAUUGAUCCAUAGCCAAAUUUAUAAAAAAGAUGGUGAAUUUUAUAAAAGUUGAGAGAGAGUUUCGGUUGGAAUGGUUUAAAAAUGGGGUGAAAGAUGCGUAUUUAAAGAUAAAAGGAUAAGUACACUUUUUGUCCUUUAUGUUUGUAUCAGAUUGCAGUGGAUAAACGUGGAUGACCGUUAACUUCAAUAAUUAUAGUCACAAUCCUCUAUUUGUAUAAUCGAUUACACCUUAGGUCCUUUAACACUAACCUAGUUUAUUUUAAACGUUAAAUAUGCUCACGUGCAUCCCAUGUGAGGGCAAUAAAGUCUUUUACCUCCUUCAUAUUUCCUUCACUUUCAUCUUCACCUACACUUCAUAUUCUUCAUCCCACUUGAACUUCAUCUUCUUCAUCUCAACUAACCAAAAUGCAACAAACCUUGCAAACCACCAAAUCCCUCCCAACCCACCACCACCACAUCAAUCGUUGGGAUCCAACGUCGUAUCUCCCUCAACUCGUUAAUCCAACCGUCACACCAGAUCUGUUCAUAACACCACCGCCUUGUUCAUCGAACCAUCAGAGAGAAGGGGUUUAGAGAUUUGGGGGUUUGCUUUAAAAUCAUAGGUACAAAUACGGGCGGUGGUUUUGGUAAAAAGACGGCGGUUAGGGUUCUGUUACAUAAGAUCAAUUGUGUUGUACCGGUAGGUUUCUUUGUUGGGGUCAUUGGAAGAGAAUAUGUUCUACCUUUACUUGUAACUGGUGAAUGAUUUUGAACCACACAAUUGUUUGUCAACUCAUUUGGAACCACUUCAGAAUUAAGAAUUAACUGAUGAGAAUGGCCGAUGGAUGGGUUAGGGGCGGUGGGUGUGAUAUGGUGGUGCCCGACUGGUGAACGGUGGCCGGAGUGGAGGUGGUGACGAGAUUUGAUGGUGGUCGGCAGCUGGGUUGCAGAUCUGCGAAGGAUGGGUGGUGGUGGUGACGAGAUUUGCGCGUGGGUUUGUGAAGACGGGGUUGGCAAGAUGAGGUGGUGGUGGCAGGAUGUGGUGGUGGCGGCAAGAUGAGGUGGUCGUGGCAAGAUGUGAUGGUUAGCGUUUUAGGGUUAGGAAAUUGGGGAAGAUGAUGUGUAUAUGCAAUUUUUUGGUUUUAUUUAUUAAACAUUUAAAUAAAAUAAUGAAUUGACCAGAAUACCUUUAA